AGCGUAGACGGCAAGGCAAGUCUGAUGUGAAAACCCAGGGCUUAACCCUGGGACUGCAUUGGAAACUGUCUGGCUCGAGUGCCGGAGAGGUAAGCGGAAUUCCUAGUGUAGCGGUGAAAUGCGUAGAUAUUAGGAAGAACACCAGUGGCGAAGGCGGCUUACUGGACGGUAACUGACGUUGAGGCUCGAAAGCGUGGGAAGCAAACA
rnacentral:rRNA from 1 species